CUCUUAGACGUUCUGGGCCGCACGCGCGCUACACUGAUGCAUUCAACGAGUCUAAAACCUGGUCUGAUAGGGCUGGGUAAUCUUUUGAAUGUGCAUCGUGAUUGGGAUAGAUGAUUGCAAUUCUUCAUCUUCAACGAGGAAUGCCUAGUAAACGCAAGUCAUCAGCUUGCAUUGAUUACGUCCCUGCCCUUUGUACACACCGCCCGUCGCUCCUACCGAUUGAAUGUUCCGAUGAAUACCAUGGACUGAGAGUAUGAAUGGGUUCGCCUAUUUCUGCUUCUCGGGAAGUGGAGUAAAUCUUAACAUUUAGAGGAAGGAGAAGUCGUAACA
rnacentral:rRNA from 1 species